rnacentral:rRNA from 1 species
AUGAACGCUGGCGGCGUGCCUCAUACAUGCAAGUCGAGCGAACAGACGAGGAGCUUGCUCCUCUGACGUUAGCGGCGGACGGGUGAGUAACACGUGGAUAACCUACCUAUAAGACUGGGAUAACUUCGGGAAACCGGAGCUAAUACCAGAUAAUAUAUUGAACCGCAUGGUUCAAUAGUGAAAGACGGUUUUGCUGUCACUUAUAGAUGGAUCCGCGCCGCAUUAGCUAGUUGGUAAGGUAACGGCUUACCAAGGCAACGAUGCGUAGCCGACCUGAGAGGGUGAUCGGCCACACUGGAACUGAGACACGGUCCAGACUCCUACGGGAGGCAGCAGUAGGGAAUCUUCCGCAAUGGGCGAAGGCUUGACGGAGCAACGCCGCGUGAGUGAUGAAGGUCUUCGGAUCGUAAAACUCUGUUAUUAGGGAAGAACAAAUGUGUAAGUAACUAUGCACGUCUUGACGGUACCUAAUCAGAAAGCCACGGCUAACUACGUG